CACGGCCCAAACUCUACGGGAGGCAGCAGUGGGGAAUCUUGCACAAUGGAGGAAACUCUGAUGCAGCGAUGCCGCGUGAGUGAAGAAGGCCUUUGGGUUGUAAAGCUCUUUCGUCGGGGAAGAAAAUGACUGUACCCGAAUAAGAAGGUCCGGCUAACUUCGUGCCAGCAGCCGCGGUAAUACGAAGGGACCUAGCGUAGUUCGGAAUUACUGGGCUUAAAGAGUUCGUAGGUGGUUGAAAAAGUUGGUGGUGAAAUCCCAGAGCUUAACUCUGGAACUGCCAUCAAAACUUUUCAGCUAGAGUUUGAUAGAGGAAAGCAGAAUUUCUAGUGUAGAGGUGAAAUUCGUAGAUAUUAGAAAGAAUACCAAUUGCGAAGGCAGCUUUCUGGAUCAUUACUGACACUGAGGAACGAAAGCAUGGGUAGCGAAGAGGAUUAGAUACCCUCGUAGUCCAUGCCGUAAACGAUGUGUGUUAGACGUUGGAAAUUUAUUUUCAGUGUCGCAGCGAAAGCGAUAAACACACCGCCUGGGGAGUACGACCGCAAGGUUAAAACUCAAAUGAAUUGACGGGGACCCGCACAAGUAGUGGAGCAUGUGGUUUAAUUCGAAGAUACGCGCAGAACCUUACCAACACUUGACAUGUUCGUCGCGACUUUAAGAGAUUAAAGUUUUCGGUUCGGCCGGACGAAACACAGGUGCUGCAUGGCUGUCGUCAGCUCGUGUCGUGAGAUGUUGGGUUAAGUCCCGCAACGAGCGCAACCCUCACUUUUAGUUGCCAUCAUUUAGUUGGGCACUCUGAAAGAACUGCCAGUGAUAAGCUGGAGGAAGGUGGGGAUGACGUCAAGUCCUCAUGGCCCUUACGUGUUGGGCUACACACGUGCUACAAUGGUAUCUACAACAGGAAGCGAAACGGCGA
rnacentral:rRNA from 1 species